GAGGGGAAAAGGCAUGUCUAGUAUAAGCACUAUACAGUGAAACUGCGAAUGGCUCAUUAAAUCAGUUAUCGUUUAUUUGAUAGUACCUUACUACUUGGAUAACCGUGGUAAUUCUAGAGCUAAUACAUGCUAAAAAUCCCGACCUCCGGAAGGGAUGUAUUUAUUAGAUAAAAAACCAAUGCCUUCGGGCUCCUUGGUGAUUCAUGAUAACUUAACGAAUCGCAUGGCCUUGCGCCGGCGAUGGUUCAUUCAAAUUUCUGCCCUAUCAACUUUCGAUGGUAGGAUAGUGGCCUACCAUGGUUUCAACGGGUAACGGGGAAUUAGGGUUCGAUUCCGGAGAGGGAGCCUGAGAAACGGCUACCACAUCCAAGGAAGGCAGCAGGCGCGCAAAUUACCCAAUCCCAAUCCGGGGAGGUAGUGACAAUAAAUACUGAUACAGGGCUCUUUUGGGUCUUGUAAUUGGAAUGAGUACAAUUUAAAUCCCUUAACGAGGAACAAUUGGAGG
rnacentral:rRNA from 1 species